ensembl:lncRNA novel transcript
AUCCACAGCCUGAACCUUGGAGAACACCUCCCUUUCAUAUGACUUCUGCAAAGGGCGUGUUUCAGCUCACAGGGACAAAGAGUCACUGCACCAGAGAACCAGAAAGAGUGAAGAAAUGUUUGUCCCCGGUGCUGAGAACACCAUCAGAUGAUCUUUCUGCCCAGAGCCACUAUCUGUCCCUAAAUAUCAGGUUUAUCAAUGCCUGGCCAUCUCUUUUCAAUUUGGGACAACUGCCAGCGACCACUAGCUAGCUCCAGAAUUCCUCAGAUGUUUCAGGAAACUGCCGCAACUUUGUAGAGCACAGUUUGAAAGCUACUGCUGAAGAAAUAUGUCACCUUGAAGGCUUUUUAAACACGGGAUUUGCAAGAUAGGGUUUGCAUUUUAGAAACAUUAUUCUGCUUGCUACACUACUGAGUUUGGAUGAGGGAGACUUGAAGGCAAGGGAGCUCUGUUAUGAAAUAACUACACUUUUCUUAUAGAAGAAGACUAUAAUAGACUGUAUCAAAAAUGUCUACGUUCCAUAGCAUUGGUGGAACCAUGCAUUACGUCUGAGGACAAGGACGGGAACCUUCUGUGGCGUGCUGUCAACAGCUUUAAAUAGGCAUUGAGUUUGAAGAUAGAGCACAUGAAGGGCAUGUUACAGCAGAGCUGAAGGGAGAACAGUUGAUGGGGUUUGGUGAUCAACUGAUUUGGAGAGUAAAGCAAUGAGAAGAAUGACAUUCAUGAUUUGUUACAGACACGGCUCACAGGCUUAAGCGUCUUGCUGUAGGUCAUACGGCAGGUUAAUGACAACACUGGGGCAAGAACACAGGUUACGCUCGUCCUGGGGAAGGCUCCCACACCAAGCUACACACUUCUGCAAUGCUGUUCCAGAUGUGAAAAUCCGCUAAGACAAAUAGGUCACAAAAACACCAUGGGAAACGAUGAUGUCUUUUCCUUUUUGUUAUCUUGAUAAAGCUUCAUACAUGGGACAAAAGGAGGAACUAGCCCACCAAGCAGGUUUAAAGGGAGUGUCGGACACAAAAAUGACAUGCCCCAUAUUGCAGUCUAGAAGGAACAACACGGUGAAUUGUCUACUGCAGAACACUUCACUCUGUCUCGAUUACUACAUGGUGAAUUGAAGUUCCAGUAGAGAGGGAGUUGAGCUGAUACUGAGGAGAUAAAUACCCAUCACUGUAUACAUCUACUUCUUGGAAUUUGCAAGGGAACCAGUCAACAGAUUUUUCAAGCCUUAUAAGUUUAUCUGCCUGAGAAGUUCACCAGCUACAUAACAUCCUGGACUCUGGAGCCCAAGAGAUGUGUAGUUUCCAUUUUGGAGCCAUUUUCUUUGAUAAAUAAGUAGUGAGGCUGCCAUUCUUGUCAAAGUUGAGGACCACAACCUUACUCAUGAAACUGAAAGAUUGUUUGUUAUGAGGAGUUCUGUUUGAGCCAUACAAGCAAUAUAUCCUUUUUAAAGAAAUGUAUCCGGAAUCUUAGGUGUUCAUUGCUCCAAGCCAUGUGCAGAAUAAAAAGAAAACAAAAAACAAAAAA